AUUUUUCGUUCCAGAAUAGAUACAAUUUUAGCUUUGGUGGCUUCCUUCAGAUAAUUCCACUUCUUCUGUUGCAACAUUCUCCAUGGUUUCUUCUUUAUCUGAGGAUUAAAUUAAGCCGUGUGUGAAUUGCGCUAAAAUUUGCGUUAAAACUUCUACCACGAUUAAAAUUUGACGUCUUCUUUGAGGUGGGAUCAAAUUUAGCCAUUUGCUGUGUGAAUUGCGUUAAAACAAUUAUUUUAACCAAGAUUUCUGCGCAGGUUAAACAAAUUUCCCUCGAUAAUUUAAGAAAUUUCCCUGAACAAAAAUUGGGAUUCUUGUUCGCGGAAAAAUAAUUUCGCUUACAAAACAUAUUUUUAAGAAAACAGGGUUAAUAAAAAGUCUCUGAAACUAAAAAAAAAUCUUUUUUAUUUAUUGUUCUCGAUUCUAAUGCCAUAUUUUAAAACAACAGUUAAAAAUAUUCAAACAAAAUUCCCAUUUUGAUUAAUUGAUUUAUUCGGUGUGGUAACACUGAAUAAUUGUUGAUAUCUUUCAUACAUUUCAAAAGAAACAAAACAAUUAAUUCGUAUUUGGUUCAGAAAAAUGACAAAUUUAAAGUAUUUUGCUGUGAUUCUUUUAUAUCUUUUAAAAUAUCAAAGCGUAAUAGGGUAAGUUAUUAGUUGACGUUCAAGUUAAAAGUUUUCCAAUAAUAAAUCCUAUUGGCAGAUUACCCGUGUAAGCUAUGGAAGACUUCGAGUGUUUUCAGAAGACAUCGAUGCAAUUCUCAACAACGAUAAGAUCAAAUGUCGUGAACAUUUGCGGUUGAAAAGUUCCACUUUUAGAACGAUUGUGGGCCUCAUGCCAGGGAAACGGAGUGGUCGGACAAAUGAGUAUGAACUCGUUGUAUUCCUUUACUGGAUGGCAUCUGGUUGUAGCUAUCAACUUGCUGGUGGCUUUAUUGGAAUGAGCAGAUAUACAGUGAAGAGCAUUGCGCACAAAAUGCUUAAUUUCUUUUGCGGAUCCAUGUGUCAUCUCAUUAAACAUGUUCAACCUAAUAACUAUGAGGACAUUGGCUAUAAAUUUUGCAGACGUUCCAAACCUAAUAUAUUUCAAAAUGUGAUAGGAGCUAUAGACGGCACUCAUAUCAGGAUACUUUGUCCUGUAAGAAAACAUGACGAAUAUUUAAACUAUAAACGUUUUUAUUCGAUCCAAUGUCAAUCUGUUGUUGACAGCAAAUUGAUGUUUAAUGACGCUUUUGUUGGAUUCCCUGGAUCAGUACAUGACACUCGUGUUUUGAAAAACAGUCAACUAUACAAAAGUGGCAAUUAUCCAAAGCAACCCUAUUACUUGCUGGGAGAUAGUGGAUAUGCGUGUCGUUUACAUCCAAUACCCAUCAUAACACCUUACAAAACAUCCAAUUCGAAUGAAAAAAAGUUCAACACCACACAUAGUAAAGCCAGAAACGUUGUUGAAUGUGCUUUCGGAAUAAUGAAAAGCAGAUGGAGAAAUAUUUUUAAUAAAGGGUUGGUGAUUUAGGUAGAGGUGAUCCAGAAGAAUUAUUUCAUUCCAAUGACAACACUGGGGAAAAUCUAGGAGUUGAUGAAAGUGACACAGCUGAAGCAUUACUUUUUCGCAAUUCGUUGCUUCAAAGAUU